UACGUAGGGUGCGAGCGUUGUCCGGAAUUACUGGGCGUAAAGAGCUCGUAGGUGGUUUGUCGCGUUGUUCGUGAAAACCGGGGGCUUAACCCUCGGCGUGCGGGCGAUACGGGCAGACUUGAGUACUGCAGGGGAGACUGGAAUUCCUGGUGUAGCGGUGGAAUGCGCAGAUAUCAGGAGGAACACCGAUGGCGAAGGCAGGUCUCUGGGCAUUACCUGACGCUGAGGAGCGAAAGUGUGGGGAGCGAACAGG
rnacentral:rRNA from 1 species